UAUAUAUUCCUCUGUCCGAAAAUACUUGUCAUCAAAAUGGACAAAAAAGGAUGUAUCUAGAACUAAAAUACAUCUAGAUACAUUCCCUUUUAUUCAUUUUGAUGACAAGUAUUUCCGAACGGAGGGAGUACCUU
rfam:Triticum aestivum genome assembly, contig: Triticum_aestivum_CS42_TGACv1_scaffold_592267_7BS